rnacentral:rRNA from 1 species
GAGUUUGAUCUUGGCUCAGAUUGAACGCUGGCGGCAUGCCUUACACAUGCAAGUCGAACGGCAGCAUGAUCUAGCUUGCUAGAUUGAUGGCGAGUGGCGAACGGGUGAGUAAUACAUCGGAACGUGCCCUGCAGUGGGGGAUAACUAGUCGAAAGAUUAGCUAAUACCGCAUACGACCUGAGGGUGAAAGUGGGGGACCGCAAGGCCUCAUGCUAUAGGAGCGGCCGAUGUCUGAUUAGCUAGUUGGUGGGGUAAAGGCCCACCAAGGCGACGAUCAGUAGCUGGUCUGAGAGGACGAUCAGCCACACUGGGACUGAGACACGGCCCAGACUCCUACGGGAGGCAGCAGUGAGGAAUUUGGACAAUGGGCGAAAGCCUGAUCCAGCAAUGCCGCGUGUGUGAAGAAGGCCUCGGUU